AUUCGGGAGGGGUUUUAAAAAAAUAUCAACAGAUUAACAUUAUUUUUCCUUUUGCAGUUUCCUGAGCCAUGGACAGGCAGAGUACCUGAAGCCAAUGGGACCUGGAGAAGGAGGCAGGAGAUCAGGACCUGCAGCCUCUCAGGGGUGAGAGGAUGUGUAUGUUCUCCCUGGGUCAAGGGAACACUCUGGGAAGCGGGACUUGAGGUGCUCUGCCAUGAUCCCCAAGUGGGUUCUGAGUGGAUGAGAGGAUUCUAGUAGAAGCAGAGCACAGGGUGGACUGCUUCUGGUUGGGGAGAGAAGAAAGGGAGGCAGCUGGAGCUCAAGCUGGUGUUACAUAGGUGCUUAUGCAGGAGAUGGCCCCACAACACUUCACAAGGAAGCCAGCACAUGUGCCCACGAGAGACAGCUGCUCAGAGAGUGCCACGGACCAGUCCAUGUCAUCCAGGGAAACAGUGACCAAUGUAAUUAAGAGGAUCAGUCCCUUCCCUUGGGCAGCUAAGUUAGGAGGCAUCUCUGCCCUUCCAUCCUUCUGUCCUGCUCCAACACCAGAGGACCUGGGUGGAGGAGACGGGGUGGUGAGAACAGACCCUGCUCCUGUCCCGCCAAGCUCUAUAGAGGUGCAGGUCCAAUGUUUGCGUAUGGGUCCGGGGUUGGCCAUGGGGGGUGGUGGGAAGAAAAAAGCCAUUGCUUAAAAAUAAGUUUAAAGUUUUCAAAUCCAUGGGAUUGAGUCCUACUGGCACCAAACUGUGACUGAAUAACCCUUAAUAGCUGGGCGUACAUGGUGUUGGACUAAGAGUAUGUUAAGCACUGCAAAGGGGAGUUUGAGGGUGCACAGAGACACUUUCGGGUUUGAAACCCUGUUCCUUAAUAAACGGGAUUCCAUUUUAGUUAGUGAGUGUCAGUCUUUUAGAGACUCGAUUUUCCCAGCCGGUAUGCCUUUCCCCAGCAGCUUACAUCUUCUCAUGCCACUAGAUGACCUUUUCCAGACCUGAUGGGUACCACCUCAGUACACUGGCCAUCAAAAGUGACCACCACGGGAGAGAGGGGGAUGUCCCCAGAAAACCUUGCAGCCUCAAUAAUUUGUGUGGGAGUGAGCAAGAGGGUGUGGAUGACUCUACUUACCUCUGGGGAUGGGAAAGAGUUAUUAUGUUCAGAGCGGGUGUGUCUGACUAUAUGGCCUUUUAAACCCACAUUUACUGCCAAAUCCUUCCCUUCUGAGUCUGAGUCACGGUUCCAGCCACCUGCUCCUUGCGGCCACCUGGGAGUCCUAAAAUCAUGGAGUCUAGGAUGUCACCCUCACUCCCCUCACUUAAGGCAUAGCUAUGUCUUAAGGCAGAAUGAGAAAAAAAGCCAGGAGGGUACGCUGUGAGAAGUCCAAUGAAGCAUGUGGUAAGUGUUUUACUAGAUUACUGUUAUUUUUUUUAAGUAUAAUUAUUUAGCCAUAAGAAAACAAUGAAGGAGAGUAGACAGUGACGAUCAG
ensembl:lincRNA